GUUACGGAACUGCUUGUUUCUCAGUGGGCCGCGCCGGCUGGCUCAUCGGAUUCUCUGGGUGUAGUCCCAUCCCUGGCCUGCAGUCCGCACAAUCGAUAACAACAAAGCUACACGUCUGUAGCAAAACAGACUCACACAACACUAUUCAAAAAUGAACCACAUGAUCGAUAACCAAUAUUCGGAACUGCUAACUCAUGAACAAAAUAAACAGCUGUAACAACUAUGAAAAUGUAAACAACAAAGAUCGGGCCCCGGUUCCGGACCCAGCGUACCCGCCCUACCAUGAGACGAUCACCUACACUCGUCUCCCUCAUUUUGGCCACUAGAUGGCCUACAUUAGCCCGUGUCGGUCAUCAUGCCCACUCUCCCCAACAAUAUGAAUUUAGCCGGACAUGCUUUUCUUUCAAUAUCUAUUUAGAAUCUCAUGCAAGUGGAUAUUUCGUUAACUUACAGGUGCGUAUAAUGGUUUGUGUAUUCUUAUAAUUAUUGGCAUUAAUAUUUCUUUUAUUUCUUUCUAAUUUGCACGAGGUCUCCAUUCAGAUAAAUUAGUAUUCAUGCACGUGAACAUUUCUUCUCCAGAAUUCAUUUUUUUAUUUUAACAGCACUAAAUGGAACAGGCGACGAAAUACUACAAAGAUAUUUCUAGUCGCCGCAAAAAGAAACAAGCAAGGGGGCAUUUUAGAGGCAAUCGUUGCGCCGAUUUAGGAACAAUGUGCCCACACAAAUACUUAAAACUGGGUAUGUCACGAUAAUCAGUCGUGCAACAGGUAGGUGAUAUAGAUCUGUAUUAAAUUGCUUAAUUCUACCUUAUCCG